AUUUAUAUAGUAUAAAAAAAAUUACUCUUAACUUCCAAUUAAAAAAUUUAAUAUUUAUUAUUAAUAUAAAUA
rnacentral:tRNA from 1 species